GCCCCUGUGGGGAUCGCUAUGGCAGCGGCGUCGCUCUGGGUCGGGCCUCUGCGCUGGCGCCCUGGCAGGGCCGCCUCAGCCGCCGCCGGCACCACUUCCUCUCUGGAAUGAGCGGGGUCUCCCGCCGCCGAUCGCCGCGCCCCCCGCCGCUGCCGCCGCAUCCCGACUGUGGGCCCGCUCCGGGAUCAUGCCCCUGACCGCCUACUGCUACCUGCGUGUCGUGGGCAGGGGCAGCUACGGGGAGGUGACGCUCGUGAGGCACCGACGGGACGGCAGGCAGUAUGUCAUCAAAAAGCUGAACCUCCGAAAUGCCUCCAGCCGAGAGCGGCAAGCUGCUGAACAGGAAGCUCAGCUCUUGUCUCAGUUGAAGCAUCCCAAUAUUGUCACCUACAAGGAGUCGUGGGAGGGAGGGGAUGGUCUGCUGUACAUCGUCAUGGGCUUCUGCGAAGGAGGUGAUCUGUACCGAAAGCUCAAAGAGCAGAAGGGGAGGCUUCUGUCUGAGAGUCAGGUGGUGGAAUGGUUUGUUCAGAUCGCUAUGGCUCUGCAGUAUUUACAUGAAAAACACAUCCUUCACCGAGAUCUAAAAACUCAAAAUGUCUUCCUAACAAGAAAAAACAUCAUCAAAGUGGGUGACCUAGGAAUUGCCCGAGUCCUUGAGAACCACUGUGACAUGGCUAGCACCCUCAUUGGCACACCCUAUUACAUGAGCCCUGAAUUGUUCUCAAACAAACCCUACAACUAUAAGUCUGAUGUUUGGGCUCUGGGAUGCUGUGUUUAUGAAAUGGCCACCCUGAAGCAUGCUUUCAAUGCAAAAGACAUGAAUUCUUUAGUUUAUCGGAUUAUUGAAGGAAAGCUGCCACCAAUGCCGAAAGAUUACAGCCCAGAGCUGGCAGAAAUAAUAAGAACCAUGCUGAGCAAAAGGCCUGAAGAAAGACCUUCUGUGAGGAGCAUCCUAAGGCAGCCUUACAUAAAGCGCCAAAUAUCCUUGUUUUUGGAGGCCACGAAGGCAAAAAACUCCAAAAAUAAUAUUAAAAAUGACGACUCUAAAUCCAAGCCUGUGGCUACAGUGGUUUCUGGAAAGGCUGAAUUAAGUCAUGAAGCCGUUCCCCCUCAACCACACUCUUCUGAGGGCUCCAAGACAUAUGUAAUGGGUGAAGACAAAUAUUUGUCCCAGGAGAAACCCAUAGUCAUUGGCCCCUUGAAGACACCCCCACGUCUGAAAGGCCACACCUACAAACCAGACAUAAGCAAUACUGCAGAAUCGCUAGCCACGAUCAGUAGGGUGAAUAUUGACAUCUUACCUGCAGAAAGGAGGAACUCAGUGAACAACAGCUUAGUUCAAGAGAAUCAACGAAGACACUUAGAUGCCUCUAAUGAGCUAGAAGGUAAAUGUAUUAUUUCUCAAGUGAAAGAGAGGCUGCAGGAUAACACUAAAUCCAGUGCUCAACCUGGAAACCGAAUUUCCACAUGGUCCAUUGACUAUGUCACUGGAGAAAGGAAUGACCCAGUGAAGCCUCUGCAGCCCCUAAACAAAGACCAAAAUUUAUCAAAGGACCAGGAUCAAGUUGCUGGUGAAUGUGUUAUAGAAAAACAGGACAGAAUCCACCCAACUUUACAGCCACACAGCUCUGGGUCUGAACCUUUCCUGUCUCAACAGCGGCGGCAGAAGAAAAGAGAACAUACUGAGCAUAGUGAGGAAGAGAGACAGUUCCAAGAGACUCCUCCUCGUCUUUUGCCUUCUCUUUCUACUGUUGGAAAAGUGGAUGUCACAUCAACACAAAAAGAUGCUGAAAACCAAAGUAGAGUGAUCACUGGGUCUGUGAGCAGGUCGAGGAACAGUGAGAUAUCAUCAUCAAAGGACCGCCCAUUAUCAGCAAGAGAGAGGAGGCGACUAAAGCAGUCACAGGAAGAGAUCUUCCCCUCAGGCCCUUCAGUGAGGAGAGUUUCUCUGAGUCCAGCGGGGUCAGAGAAACCACAAGAGGAAGGCCACCCUACCCCUGCUCAGUGGUUGUCUUCUGACUACAGCGUUGCUCAGGAAAGGAAACUCACCCAUUGUCUCUCUGAGGAUGAGUUAAGUUCUUCUACAAGUUCAACUGAUAAAUCAAAUGGGGAUUCCAAGGAAGGGAAAGGUCAUACAAAUGAAAUGAGUGACUUGGUACAAUUGAUGACACAGACCCUGAAUUUGGACUCUAAAGAGAGCUAUGAAGAUCUCCUGGUACCAGAGCCAGUGUCAGAAUUUAAACUUCUUCGGAAGUAUCGGGACACACUGAUACUUCAUGGGAAAGUUGCAGAGGAGGCGGAGGAACUCCGUUUUAAAGAGCUACCUUCAGGUGCUAUCGUGCCAGGUUCUGAAAAAAUCAGAAGAAUAGUUGAAGUCUUGAGAGCUGAUGUAAUUCGGGGCCUGGGGAUUCAGCUUUUAGAGCAGGUGUAUGAUAUUUUGGAAGAGGAGGAUGAAUUGGAAAGAGAGUAUGCGGGCCUCUCACUGUUGUGGCCUCUCCCGUUGUGGAGCACAGGCUCCAGACACGCAGGCCCAGCAGCCGUGGCUCACGGGCCCAGCCACUCCGCGGCAUGUGGGAUCCUCCCGGACCAGGGCACGAACCCGUGUCCCCUGCAUCGGCAGGCGGACUCACAAUCACUGCGCCGCCAGGGAAGCCCUCAUUCUUUUUUCUUUAUUCAGUUCCGCAGCAGUGAAUUCCAUCAUUCUGUCUUCCAGGUCACUUAUGUGUUCUGCCUCAGUUAUUCUGCUAUUGAUUCCUUCUAGUGUAUUUUUCAUUUCAGAUAUUAUGUUGUUAAUCUCUGUUUGUUUGUUCUUUAAUUCUUCUUGCUCAUUGUUAAACAUUUCUUGCAUCUUCUUGAUCUUUGCCUCCAUUCUUUUUCCGAGGUCCUGGAUCAUCUUCACUGUCAUUAUUCUGAAUUCUUUUUCUGGAAGGUUGUCUAUCUCCACUUCAUUUAGUUGUUUUUCUGGGGUUUUAUCUUGUUCCUUCAUGUGGUACAUAGCCCUCUGCCUUUUCAUCUUGUCUAUCUUUCUGUGAAUGUGGUUUUUGUUCCACAGGCUGCAGCAUUGUAGGUCUUCUUGCUUCUGCUGUCUGCCCUCUGGUGGAUGAGGCUAUCUAAGAGGCUUGUGCAAGUUUCCUGAUGGGAGGGACUGGUGCUGGGUAGAGCUGGCUGUUGCUUUUGUGGGAAGAGGUACGUUUGCGGGAGCACAUGGGUGAAAAGUAUGUGACUUACAAUGUGAAAGCUCACCAGUUAAAAUUUUUUGAAGAUAAUGUAAAAUUUUGAGAACUUACCUAAUCUGCUGCCAGAAUGAAACUAUUUUCAAACGUUUUUGGCUUAAACAAAAACAAACAAACCUAUAAUAAUGACUGGAGUCCAUUCACCAUCCUUAUAUUUUGUUGGGCCUUUUUUUACUAGAAAAAAAUUGGACAGAGUAAUAUGAAGCAAGCUUAUUACAAAAGAAAAAAACCUUUGGCUAUCUUAUUCUCUUUAUGAGGGAAAAUCUGUUGUACGACGUUUAUUUGGUUACUGUUUACUGAGCCUUAAACCAACUUGAUAUCUAGAACUAUUUUUUUUAAGGUACUUAUUAGCUUGAAUACAGGGAUAUAACAUACUGGAUUGGAAGUUUUAUAUUAUACUAGAGUGACGAAAGCAAUAGGAGAAAUAAAUGACAUAUAUCCAGUGACACUACUUUUUACUGUUAAUAACCUUAAGUAGAAGUUGAUAAAUUAUUUUUUUUAUUAUUCUGGGAGUAGAUUUAAAGAUAUGGCAUUAUAUAUAGUACUUGAGCAUUGAAUUCCUUUUUUUGCAUAUUGAUGGAUGUUUUAACAUUUUAUUUCCAUUUAAUAUGGACCUCAUUCAGGGUAUACAAGAAAUGAAACUAGGAGUUAUUUUGGGCUAGUAAAUCAAUAUGUUUUUACAUACUGGAUUUUUUUUUUUUCUUUUUAA